UUUCCAGAAGUUAUAUAGGAGCCGCCGGCGAAACCCGCGCGGUCCGGUUUACGUCACGCACCGAAGAGAGAGAGAGAGGGGAAAGAGUACAACGCGGCGGCGACACCACCGCCCGCCCGCCGCGAUGGCGAUGCGCCAGCUCGCCAGGCUCCACCAGCGCCUCCCCCCUUCUCUCCCCCGCCGGCACGCCACGCGCCACGCGUGGCCGCCCGCCGCCGACGCGGCGUUCCUCUGCCGCGGGCUCGCCUCCUCGUCGUCGUCCUCCGCGGCCGCCGCCUCGGCGGCGGGUCGGGAGAAGAGCUCGAGGCGGACGCUGGGGUACCUGCUCGGCGUGGCGGUCGCUAUGGUCGGCGCUUCCUACGCGGCUGUCCCGCUAUACCGUCGCUUCUGCCAGGCUACCGGCUACGGCGGCACCGUCCAACGACGCGAGAGUGUGGAGGAGAAAAUCUCACGACAUGCUCGAGAUGGAACUACAACGUCACGUGUUCUAAAGGUGUCGCCUAGGCGUCCAGGCGGACCCAGCUUACCUUGGGCAACAACCACGCCUUGUCGCCUAGGCAUCCAGGCGUACCCAGCUCGCCUUGGCGCCUUUAAAACACUCGCGCUGAGGAGAUCAUUGUCCAAUUUAACGCUGAUGUUGCUGAUGGAAUGCCAUGGAAGUUCAUUCCUACACAGAGAGAGGUUAGGGUUAAACCUGGUGAAAGUGCUCUGGCGUUUUAUACUGCUGAAAAUCGCAGUUCAGCUCCAAUUACUGGUGUGUCCACAUACAAUGUUGCUCCAAUGAAGGCUGCCAUUUACUUUAAUAAGAUACAAUGCUUUUGCUUUGAGGAGCAAACACUUCUUCCUGGGGAGCAGAUAGACAUGCCAGUAUUCUUCUACAUCGAUCCUGAGUUUGAGACAGACCCCAAAAUGGAGGGGGUGAACAAUAUAGUUCUUUCCUACACGUUCUUUAAGGUGAACGAUAGGUAGAAAAAAAACAGAGCAACAGUAGUUGCUCUAUUAGAGAAACACUUCAUCGAAUCUGUAUGCUUCGAAAUAGCGCAUCUCAUGUAACAUCACGAGAAGAGCUUGUUUGCUUGUGUAGUUAGCUCGCAUUUGUCCGGAAAAUUUUGCAAAUAAUCUGUACCAGUGAUAGUGUACCCGACGCAACCAAAAUGAGGUCCCUUAUAUGUAUCAAGGAUCCUGCAGCAUUGAUGUGAUGGCAUUUCUUUUUUUAAUA